rnacentral:tRNA from 1 species
GAAGGUAAAGCUCAAGUGGUAGAGCACAUGCCUAGCAUACACAAGGUCCUGGGUUCAAUCCCCAGCACCUCCU